rnacentral:rRNA from 1 species
CCUACGGGCGGCAGCAGUGGGGAAUAUUGGACAAUGGGGGCAACCCUGAUCCAGCCAUGCCGCGUGUGUGAAGAAGGCCCUCGGGUUGUAAAGCACUUUCAGUGAGGAAGAACGCCUGGUGGUUAAUACCCAUCAGGAAAGACAUCACUCACAGAAGAAGCACCGGCUAACUCCGUGCCAGCAGCCGCGGUAAUACGGAGGGUGCGAGCGUUAAUCGGAAUUACUGGGCGUAAAGCGCGCGUAGGUGGCUUGAUAAGCCGGUUGUGAAAGCCCCGGGCUCAACCUGGGAAUGGCAUCCGGAACUGUCAAGCUAGAGUGCAGGAGAGGAAGGUAGAAUUCCCGGUGUAGCGGUGAAAUGCGUAGAGAUCGGGAGGAAUACCAGUGGCGAAGGCGGCCUUCUGGACUGACACUGACACUGAGGUGCGAAAGCGUGGGUAGCAAACAGGAUUAGAUACCCUGGUAGUC